GCAGAGCAAACACUGGUAGCUAAACAGGUUAUGUAACUCUACAUCAAACUGUAUUCGUAGAAACGGUGUUGUCCUUUGUCUUUGAAAAAUCGAUCAGUCUACCUUAUAUACGAUGUAUCACCUGUUUGACUGAUAGGUCACAUGUGGUUGGUGUGGGCCUCUGAGCACAGCUCCAGUUGUUUGACUGAUAGGUCACAUGUGGUUGGUGUGGGCCUCUGAGCACAGCUCCAGUUGUUUGACUGAUAGGUCACAUGUGGUUGGUGUGGGCCUCUGAGCACAGCUCCAGUUAGUCUGCUACUAGAGAAUACAUCUACAAGGGCAUCACAGGCUUUUGCCAAGAUCAAGCAUCAUUGCCAAGGGUGGCACAGUGCCUGUAAGGGUGUGUGAUGUGUAGCCGGAAUGACUAAUCCUACUAACACACUGCUGAAAGUGGGUGGGGAACCAUAAUUUCCUUUCAGUUGAUUCACUUUCCCUUGAUCAACGCCAGGGCAGCAACGGAUGCCAGCUCUCCACCAACAUUUGUAUUAUGAUAAGUUGUGAAACACAAGCAUUUCUACAUUUGCACAAUAUUUGAAUUGUCUUUCAUUCGGCAGUGAUUCAAAAAUGACGUGAACCCAAAAUACAUUCCUGAUUAUCCCCAAAUACUCUUUGACUGUCAUGAGUUCAAAACAUGUUUUUGUUGUGUUCUGUGUGAGUUUCGUUGCUUUGUAAUGAGUCCAUCCUAUGCAGUUUAUUCAUAUGAUACAUUUACAUUUGGCCAUUUGAAAAACACUUUAGUCCAAAGCAACUUACACGAUAAUGUGCCAGUUAUACUGCCAUACUCCUAAAAGGCUGUGCACGUUAUAUUAUGUUAAACAUUUAUGUAGAAUAUAUCAUUGUAUUCAUGAUUGAAACUGCUUUAUAAUGUUGGGGGUUUGGUGUUCACCCCUCUCUGUGAACCAUCACUCAGCUCUAGUAACCCUCAGUUGGGCUUGCUCAUUUGGGGUAGGGAAGAGCAAGGGAGAGCCACAGAGCAGAGUGCACAAGAACAAUGGAUCUAAGUGAAGGAGAUGUCCCAGUCUGUAGAGAGGCUUGGGAUCUAAGUGAAGAUGUCCCAGUCUGUAGAGUGGCUUGGGAUCUAAGUGAAGGAGAUUUCCCAGUCUGUAGAGAGGCUUGGGAUUGCUAAAAGUUCUUGUCCAAAGCUAAGCAAGGUCGUCAUAUUUGGACCUCUGUGCCUAUCAUUGCCUAGUUUUUUUUAUCUCCCUGGGACCAUUUUAGUUUAUGUUGUGAGCAACCUGGCUCAUCUGGACUAAUAAAUAAAUCGAUAUUUUUGUACUGGACUGCCAUCUCCUGCCACUUUCUCUCCUCGUCACUACCUCAUGCAGUGAUGCACUUCUCAGAGCGUGGGGUGCCCCCCUUCAUCGCUCACAGAGCUCAAUGGUUAAUGAAAUUACACUCCUCCCUUCCAUUGUCUUUCAGGAAAUGAUGAACUACAGUCUUGGACAGCAUGCUUGUCUGUGGAAUUUCAAGUUCUUCCACAUUGCUGAACACAAGAAUAGCUGCAACAGCGUAGGAUAGCAUAGCAGCAUUCAUGCCCAAAAGGCAAUUUCUGAAAACAAAUUUAACAAGAGUACCUCCGCCAAGGGAAAUGCCGUAUCUCGCUACGUUAGCGGAAGCUAAACUAAAUAUGCGCAGUCAUCCAGUGAGGCAGAUCCGCUCCAAAAUGUAAAGUUUUGUUUGUUUUUUAAGGCCAGGUCUUGCAUUUUGCAUUUGUGCCAUUAACUGUCUGUUUACCUUUCAAAUACCCUGUUCUACAUCUUUUAUACAGCCCGUGCUUGGACCCACACAUCAUUGACAAGGUUAAUUUAAGCCAGGUCCUAAGAAUCAUAGGGGUAUUUUCUGUUGAACUUUCUUUUUCCGUAAUGUCCUUUCAGAGUAUUUUGCAUGACAGUGCCACGAAAAGUGUGAGUCUGUCUAAAAUAUAUUAUUAAAUUAAUUUAAUUAAGAUAUUGUUGUCCGUGACACCACUAGCCCAGCUGAAGUAUAGCCUUUGAGACACUGAGUUUGCUCUGAGUCAGACUCACACAUUCUUGCUUGCUCGCACACACACAAAGCAGUAGCUUAAAGCAAAAUGUAACCUGCUGUUUCUAAAAUAACUCAUGAAAUAAUCAUUUUGGUGGUACACUGCCUUGUAAUACAGAGAAUGGCAUCUGUGCCACUGCCACAGCACGCCUGGUGCGCCUGGUAUUGUCCUAUGUAACUUUGGGGUACAGGCCAGGGCACGAGACCUCUCACGAGAACUUCAUAAUGCUUUAUGGCACCAUCUCAUGCACCAACAACUAGAUCCUUCCCAUGCACUAGCUAUAAGAGGAAGACAGCACAGUAUUCUCUGUAUGGACAUCAUGGCAGAAGCAACGAAGAAACCGAGGUAGACGUUGUCGGAGGAAGCAGGAAGAGAAAAAGAGAGUAACCAAGCAAGAAACAGAAAAAGAGUCGCAGAGCUAAAAGUUACAAAAGGAUGCAAGUCAGAUGCUGAGCUGGCCUUCUUUCUGUUGGACUAGUCAGUAAUAACUUAGUAGCUGUCUUGCUAUGUCUUGUGUUGUACUUGCGUGAUGUUUGGCUGUGUUAUGAAAGUUGUCGACAAGCUCGUUUUUCUCCACAAACACCCCUGCCAAUGUAAUUUAUGAAAGAAUUCAACGUAGGCUGUGAAGGAGUUAAAAAAUCAUAAUUAAGGAUCAGAGUUAAUAAUGAUUGACAAUAAUCAAUAAUCCAAUGAAUCGUAGAUUAAUUUGUGUUUGUUGCUUUUAAUUGGACUUAGGUUCAAUUGUAAGAGUUUCUGGCUGAAUAUACUGUUAGAUGAGAUGGCCUGAGAAAGGUGUGAAUGAGUGUUCUCACCACCCCUCCUCUCUUGGUCAUAUCACAGUGUCAUUGAUAUUCCUUAUAACCCAACCCCCAUGAAUGCAGGCCUCUGAGACAUUUGCUCACAGCUGGAUCUCUUAAUCAAUUUCCCCUGUGAACAAAUGUUGUGGACAUUCCUGUCUACGACGGUAGCACACUGAUAUCAUGAAGGGCCGGGGCUAUGGGGUGACACCCCUUAUGCUGUGUAGGAUAUUUAAAUGGAAAUGUUACAAUGGCUGACCAACUGAGACAUAGGUGAAGCUUUUGAGUGAAACCUCUUUCUCUCUCCCUUGAUGUACAUCACUGUAUAAGAUUAAAGCCUGUUUCUUGACUGAUCAUACUCAGACUGGUCUCACCCAAUCUUUUCAUCAGUCAUCCCUAUCUGAUGGAGAUUUGUGGUUUCACCAGAUGCCAAGAGUCCUUGACCUGUCCUGGCUAGCAUCCAAAUAAAUUAAUCUCACGUCAAAAAGUUUGAUCAGUCUUCGUCAAUCUCAUGCCAAUAAGCCUUGGAAGUUUGCAACCUUGAAACUCAGCAACUCAGCUAGCUUGUAAUAAAUGACACACUCCAAAGGAUGUUAAACAUGUUGCCAACAACAUUCUAUUAGAUUACACAUGCUCCACAUUCAAACGCUUAUAAAACAAUGUAUAUAGGCUGAAAAGGUAAGCAGUAUUUCAAUUAAAUUAAAAUGUGUCACUUUGGUUAUGUUAGCGUCUAUCUCUGAUGUCACAAUAAAUACAACUAUGCAGAGUCAUAUUUUUGUGUAAAAUCUUGAGAUAUUACUCUGCCGUUGUCUUUGUCGCAUAUCCUUCAGCUUGUCAACAAAUACACGUGUACCCUGUACAUUGGGGGGUCUCAAAGUGCGAUUUGUAUUGAUGACAGUGGUGUAAAAGUGAGCUACACUCCGCAACUUUAGGGGGGGGGCUCAGUAGCAAAAAAUACCAAUUCUGACAGAAUGGGGCAUUAAGUAAUAUUGCACAAGGGUGUACUCACUUCUUUUGUAUACAGUAUGUUAUGGACACAACAGAGAAUAGACAUACAGCAUAGCAGUGUGUUAUAUGACCGCUGCAUAAAGUAAGAGAAUACGUAAGACAGACAUCCCAUGUUAGCCCAAAAAUUUUCAUUGGACCUUUUGACAAAAUACUUGUUUGAAAUUGGGUAAAUAGCUUCUACAUGCCAUUAUUAACGAGUCUACAUCAAGUUUCAUCAAUAUUGGCCAUUAACACAAGCAUGUAUUAGCUGCUGAAUUUUGAUUGGCCAUAGGUAACCAUUUUGUUGAGCAAGCCGAAUGGAACUUUAGUGUAUAAGCUACCAAACUUCCACAUUUCAUCUUAAGUGGUUCCUGAAAUAUUGACAUGUCAGUUGCAGGGCCCCCUAUAAACGAAAUGUAGUAGUAAUGCAGUGCGUCAAAUUUUGUGAACUUUGAACCUUUACAUCACAAGAUCUUGGCUAGUGAAGCGCUAUAUUUUUGCACUGAACAUUAUUCAUUAAGUGGUGCUACUCCAGAACUGAGUUGUAAUGAGCUAGGGUCAUGCACCUCCUAAAGGGCCAAGUCGCCAUAAAAUGUUUGUAAUUCUGACGAAAUGGUUGUCGAACAAUUACCCAAAAAGUGCUUUGAGUUUACCCCACUUCAGAGGGCGCUAGUCUGUAGGGAGACGCCCCCCUAGGUACACAAACCUUAUAUUCCGUAUCAGCCAUGUAGAGUACAAUCACGCCAAGUGUCAUGCGGAUUGGUGAAGUCUUAAGUAUACUUUAUUAUCAACAAAAAAUCGGUAAAAAAUAAAUAAAGCUUUGACAAAGACUAAAUGACCGUGCUGCAGCGGUCAUAAUUAUUGGUAUCACCAAAGUCCUUAUCACAUGGUCAGCAAGCUAAAGUUAACUUCAGCCAGCUUAUGUAAGACAACUUACCAAUCAAAAUUCCUUUACUUACAAGUUUUUGAAAUUCUAGUUGUUUUAUGGGUGCCUUUUGGCACAGUUGGAUGUGGGCCAAUUUGGGGUGUUUUUGCUCAUAUGUUGUUAUGCCUCAUUACUAUGUUCACAGUCAUCGGCAUUAAUGUGGUAGAUCAUUGGUAGGAACUUGGCAAAGCUGUUUGGACCUGCCUUGGCCCCACAUUCCUCGUGAUGAGAGCAAAUCAAAGAUAGUAAUCGUAUAUUAGGGCCAGAACAAUUUUGCACAACUGGCAUCCUCUGCUUACAACCAAAGCUCAGCUGUUUUGCCUCACACAUAAGGUGCUUAGGAUAACAAAACGUCUGAAACAAAUGAAUAAAUGUAGACUAAAUGUUAGAAGCCACUUAUGGCCCACUUGGGGCAGUGCUGGCGAUCCGCUGCCUUUUGCUUAUCGGUUUUCGGGCAGUCCGCUGGUGAGUUACAGACAAAUGGCCCACUGUUUGGCCAUAGUUUAAAAAAAAUGUCUUUAUUCAUUUUUACUCUUUCAUUGAUUUUCACCAACACUUUAAAAAUUUUAUAGAUGUGACCAUGAGUAACAUGAGUCUUUCAUUUUUCACCUUGAAAGCCUUCUAGUGCCAUGAACCUCUUCUGUCAGAGAGCGAACCAGAAGUGGCUUUUGAAGAUUUCAGCUAGGCCUAGGUUACCUUUUCACAGACUAUCAAGGAAAUUCGAAAGUAGGCUCUCGUUCAAGAACACUAGAUGAGUAAGCUACCAUGAUUAGUGAACCGAUUCCUGAUUGUCCUGAUUCAGAGCAUUUCUAGUGUCUGAGGGCAUUUGUGAGGGUAAAUUGUAGGCAAUUAGCCUACUUCGAACAUUAACAUUAACAGAUGAUAAAUUGCGGACAACUAAUGGCUGUUUAUCAUACUAACUAUAUCAGUUCAUCACCCUUAUCCAUAACCUUGAUCUGCAUAAUCUUUCUAUCAAACACUUACUGUAAUUGUUACCUGUCCACUGCUCUUCACGUCUGGGCUACAACCUGCGCUGUACCUUCUUUGCCAAAAUCAAUGACAACUGCCAUUGGCAAUGUGAGACUUUUGAAUGACAAGUGGACUGCAGAGUUAUAUACUUAUGGGUCAGGAUGGCAGUCUGAGGGACAAUAUGUAUUCAAUGAAAACUCAUCUCUUUCCAGUACUUGACAAUUAAACCACAGCUAUAUUUAAAAUAUUGUUUAGAAAUUGUAUUUAUUUAUUCAUUUUUUGUCACAUUAUGUGGGGUGGGCAUGUGCCCAAUUUGGCUCAAUGUGUGUGAUGCCAAAACCAGUGGAGAUAGGAGUUAGAGGCUUCGCAGCUAAAUCAACCACAUUGCUUAUGUUGGUUUUUGAGGACGGUCACUCAAAGGAGCUAUAAAGGAGUUGUUUUAGGAUGCUGAAAGACCUAGCCAAUGGUUUUGGCCCUUACAGACUACUUGGGGGCAUGUGAAUUAAUCUGUAUUAUAACCUGUAUUAUAACCUGUAUUAUCUGAGGAAGAUGUUCUGGAAGUUGGCAUGCUUAGAGCCUGCGUCAACAGGGCACAGGUAUAGCUGAGGAGGCCUUACGUAGAGCCCCCAUAAUCAACAGGGCAUAAGUAUGCCAGAAGUUAUCAUACAAAGAGCUACCAGCAAAUGGUGAAUAAAAAUGCAGAGAAUAGAAUAUAGAUGGCCAAAAUGUUGUAUACCAGUUAGAAAUAACUGUAUUAUUCUGUGAAUUUGUUCUUAGCACAAUAAGAGCUUGUUUGGAGGAAUGUGUUUCAUCCGAGCAGACAAAACAACCAGCCAAUAAUGGAUCCUAUAUGACUCAGUCAAUUGCGGCAUUCAAGAUGAGGAAAUCCAUGAAGGACACAUGAUAUGACACAAGUACACUUAAAAUGAAACUUUGUUGAAUUGUUCCACCAUUUGUAAUCUUUUGGUAUGCUAAGAUUUAAAGUUUGUGGUGGCCUCAGGCAACUGUCUAAUUACAAUUAAUUCUGGUUAGGUAUUUAAUUAAAACUGCAAAAUAAAAACACUACUGUUUUAUUAAACAGUAGGAUAAAUUACAUAGCCAUGAAAUUGCAGAAGAACCACUAUGCAUUUUAGGAUUCAUUUUCUUCUAUUUGGUUAGAUUAAAUACAUCUAAAUAUUAGACAAGUGUAAGUGACAUAGUGUAAGUGCCCUCUAACUGCAAUAAGUGGCCCUCACAAGUAAAAAGAAUCACGAAUGGAAACACAAUUGCAUGGAUUGCAAUUGCUGACAGGAAAUCAAAUCAAAUCAAACUUUAUUUACGGCGCAUUUCAUACCAAGAGGUAAUGCAAUGCGCUUCACAGAAGGAACUUGUCUACAAGGUCUACAACCACUCAAAAAACCUGCAAAAUAGUAUACAUAUUUGGGUGGUUUAACAACCAAUAUCAGUGCUGCAGCAGUUACUCAAAGGUAAGUAAAUUAAGUGACCAAGAGAUGGCCAGACAUAAAAAAGCGAACAAAAGAAAAGGUUGCUUUAAACAUGUCACAAAUGAGAAAUUCGAAAAAACAGUCUAUUUCAUAUAGGCUACUAGUGACAACCAUUUAUUUUUUUCGUUUUGCCUUCCAUGAAAAGUCGUCACUUUUUAAAGAUGAGGCAUUGUUUGGGAAACACGCAUUCAACGACAAAGUGAAAGUUAGAUGACAGAGGCUGGCCCACUAUGAGUCCAAGAUGAACUGAAACCGCACAAUGAUUAAGUUAUUCUUCAGAUAUUCUUCGACUGAUAUAGAAAUUUAGUAAUAUAGACCUAUUGCACCUCUGCCCACGAAAUGGACUUGAUUUGGGCAGCCGAACAUGGCAAACUGGUUCUCAACGACUGUGAUCAUGAAUAAAAAAUGACCGAUGCCUCUUCUGUGCACUCUGAUAUGGUCACUUAUUCUGCUACCUCUUGGGUUUGGCUGCGAAAGCCAAAAGUCCAAAGAAGACAUUGCAAUGGAUUAUUCCAACAUCAUACAAAAACGUAUCGAGAACAUUUUAAAUGACAGAGAACUGAGUGAAACAACCUGCAAACCGGCCAACAGAAACGAAUGCAAGAAUGUCUCACCACAGAUUCUGAACAGAGUGGUUUGUAGACAUUCAAAGACAGAUUUUUAUCACAUGACUUCCCAAGUGAAAACCCUCACAGAGUUAAUACAUGUUUCCUUCGGAUGCGCAUGCGAAGAGAAGGAUGGGAAAAAAAAGCCACAGCGGAGCUUGCAGAGGAAACUUUGCACACUGAAACACUGGCUGGAGAGGAUAAAGGACCUAUACAGUCAGUUCAACUCUUCUUGAGUUAAAGGACAGCAGGACAUUUUCAUGAUGAGUCAAGGCUGUCAAUGUAAACUUAACUGUGCAACCACUACUUAUGGACAGAGGAAGGACACUUGUUCAGAGAGGAAAGAAGAGGCCACUUCUCUUGCGCUUCUGGCCAAAUACAUGGAGAAAACGACUGUGCGAAUGUAUAUCAGUGACUUUGGUUGAUGGAUGGUGGAACCCUUUCUUGACUACCGUUUUUGGUUUCAAGACAACCUUUUUUUCUCACACAGCCACUCCACCAAGAAAGUGCUUUAUUGCUGAUAAAACCAGUGUAGAAAAUGCCUAAACUUGCCAGCACCAUUUAGGAUGGAUAUCAAGCCAUAUGUAUGUAAGAACUGUAACUAGAAGAUGUACAAAUUUAAAUGACAGUAGACUAUGAACACUGCAUUACUGAAGAAUACAUACCUGUACAUGACGUAACAAGUCUCUCGUGUUAUAGCCAUUCACUCUCUCACACACUAUGUAACUAUGCAGUCUGUGUGAUUAUGCUAUGUUAAAAAUUGCAUGGUAGAGAAUACUCAUUUUAAUACAUAAAAAAUAAUACAACUUUUUGUUAUGAGUAAUACAUGUUAAACCAAUUUAGUAGUGUUAGGGAGUUAGGAGAGCAUUGGGUUAAUUUUGAUGCUGAACAAUAUCAAAAAGUAUCACAAUAGACUACACUCAGUCAAUCCAGAUUCAGCAAG
ensembl:lncRNA